UGUCAGUUGUAGAUUCAUUGUCUGGUC
rnacentral:piRNA from 1 species